UUGGGGGCCUUUGCUGAAGCAACGGGCAGAUGAUGCUGGAACCUGUAGGAUGGGUAUAUCCUGCUUUCAGGGAGCCGUAAGUCCAUGGGCAGAGGUGGGGGCUUCCCCAGGGAAGAAAGGGCACUGAUAGCAGAAGAUGGUGGCUGUACUUUUUUCUCUCCAAGAUCAUAUUUUCACACAAGUUUUUGUUGCGAUGACAGAGGAGGCAGCACUCGCCCUCGUGGGCUGAAUGGAGGGGAGGACAGAGCCUGCAGACAGCUGCACUUGAUGGUCCUUUUGUGUCCCUUCCAAAGAGGAGUAGUCUACAUUUC
ensembl:lncRNA